rnacentral:rRNA from 1 species
CCUACGGGAGGCAGCAGUGGGGAAUUUUGGACAAUGGGCGCAAGCCUGAUCCAGCAAUGCCGCGUGAGUGAAGAAGGCCUUCGGGUUGUAAAGCUCUUUUGUCAGGGAAGAAACGGUGGGAGCUAAUAUCUCCUGCUAAUGACGGUACCUGAAGAAUAAGCACCGGCUAACUACGUGCCAGCAGCCGCGGUAAUACGUAGGGUGCAAGCGUUAAUCGGAAUUACUGGGCGUAAAGCGUGCGCAGGCGGUUUUGUAAGACUGUCGUGAAAUCCCCGGGCUCAACCUGGGAAUGGCGAUGGUGACUGCAAGGCUAGAGUUUGGCAGAGGGGGGUAGAAUUCCACGUGUAGCAGUGAAAUGCGUAGAUAUGUGGAGGAACACCGAUGGCGAAGGCAGCCCCCUGGGUCAAAACUGACGCUCAUGCACGAAAGCGUGGGGAGCAAACAGGAUUAGAUACCCUGGUAGUCCACGCCCUAAACGAUGUCUACUAGUUGUCGGGUCUUAAUUGACUUGGUAACGCAGCUAACGCGUGAAGUAGACCGCCUGGGGAGUAACGGUCGCAAGAUUAAAACUUAAAUUGAAUUGACGG